rnacentral:lncRNA from 1 species
CUCCUGGGGUUAUCGGAGACCGUCUUCGAAGUUACAAAAAAAGACCAAUCUACUACUCCUGGGGAGGGCAGUGACAAGGAUUCUGGUCGGUUCACCUUUGAUGGGUCUCUGAUUUUUGUUCCGGCCACUACUCUUUUGUUGGUGCACCUGAUGGCACUUGUUACAGCCUUGUUAGGACUAUUUGAUCUUGUCGGGAUUGAAUCAAGAAUAGGGGAGAUAAUAUGUAGUGUGUGGGUGGUGCUAUGCUUCUCGCCGUUUCUUAAAGGCUUGUUUGGGAAAGGAAAAUAUGGGAUACCCAAAUCCACUAUAUGCAAGUCAGCAGCUUUGGCGUUUCUUUUUCUUGCUUGCACUAUUACAGUAAGAAAAUGACAUUAGUAAAAACUAAAAACCGUAACAAUUUAUUAAGCAUAAUUGUUAGUCAAGUGUGUUAUGACAUGUAUUAUCCGGUUCAAUGUACGAACAAAUUAAUUUAUGCAAUUAUAAUGGCAGUUUGCUUUUAACCAUUGCCGUAGCGGCAGUACCUCCAUGAAUUGAAAUGAAGUAAUGAUCACAACCGUGAGUUUGAAGUAAUGAUUAGUGAAAAAAAGACGAGGAAAAAAAAAAGAAAAAAAAAUUACCUUUUAUCAUAUAUUCUCUUCAUUCUCCACUCAUUAAUAUAUAUGAAUAUGGAAGAUCAUGGGUUCCCUACAUCCCAAAAAAAAAGAGAUUAAUUUCAAGAAUAUAUUGAUUAAACCGAGGAAAAUAAAACACAUAAAAUAGAAAAUUAAGUGAUUUAAAUUCAAAAGAUCAAGUCAAAAUAGAAAAAAAUCUUAGAAAAGUAAAGUUGCAUGUUGAAAAUUAGGUUAUCAUUCUUGAUUAAUUUGCUUAGUUUUUGGAGGUAUGCUACUAGGACUCUUUCCUUUCUUCGUCUUAAUAUGAGACCUAUUACCUUUCUUAAUAUCCAAAAUUUGGUUUUAAGGUAAUUUGACAUACUCAUUAGAUUAUUAACAUGCGACUAAAUUUUUCAAAGAGCCUACUACUACAACACUUACUAGCAUUAUGUCUUAACCUCUUACAUGUAGUGCACUUAGGGUCUUGCUUAGAGUUAGAUUUCCCAUAAGAGGAACAAACUUCCUAUGUUUUUAUAAAAGUAGUCUUUUCACUUGUGGGAGUUUCACAUAUAAUUAUAUAUCCUAAACUUCUCUUGCCUCUAAACAUUCCCAUUUUGAAUCAUUUCAUUAAAAUUUUAGGGUGAAGAUGAAAAUUUUAUCAUGUCGACUUUCAAAGAUCUUUUUCCUAUGGUCUAACUUUGAGGUUAAGGAUUUAUUCUUUUCAAGUACAAUGUGAUAUUCAAAAUCAAGGAACCUAAUUUUUCCUUAGCAAAUUGUAAUGUUCACAAGUUGUGUCCCUAAUCUUAUUACCCAAAUUAGUUUUUUUAAGUCUCAUAGGAACUUAAUUUUUCAUUCAAUUCAUUUUUCUCAUAUUCAAGAUAUUUAAUGUGAGAAAUCUUUUUGUUUAAAAUAAUUUUAAGCUUAACUAUAACACCUUAUACCCUGAGGCCAAGGGCCCUACGGUCAUUCCAUAUCAAAUUGAAACCAAAACUAAAAUAAAAUAUCUAGCCACAAAUUCAAUAAUUUUCUCAAACACUUAAAUCAAAAUUCUAAAAAUUAAUAAUGAAUUCAAUCUUAAGUAAACAAUCCCAUAAAAAAAUUAAAAAAGAAAAAAAAUCAAUUCUAAAGUAGUUUAUAAUAGAAGCAUCUUUCCUAUCUUGAUUUUUCUUCAUUGAUGUCACUUAUACUUGAAAAUGGGAAUUAUAGAAAAGGGUGAACUUGAUAGCUCAGUAUAAAAAAUAAUUUAAUAAGAAUGAUUAAUAUAGUAUAAAAUUAAACACUGAGAGAUAUCAUUUUUUUUUUACGAAAAUCAAUUAGUGAGUAAUCUCUUUUAAUUCAAUAGUUUAGUUCACUUUCUUUGAAAAAUUUAACACUUUCUAUUGAAAGAUUAAACAACAUAAUGCACUUUGCAUAAUAAUUCAUAUAAAAAAGAAUUUUACAAACAAAGAUUUUACUCUAAUCCACUCACAAUAACACCAUGCCCAAAUAGUUGAAUUUGUAUUAGGUGGCUAGCCUCAAAAUGUUAUUAGUGAAUGGAACGGAUUCCAAUCCAUAGUAUACCAAAGGCCAAUAACACCCCUAUUAGCUAGGGUUGUGUUGUAUUAUUACCCUCACUAAGGGUAAUAAAGGUCAACAACUUAUCCCUAUUGACUAGAGCCACUUAGUGUUUCUAAAAUCAUUUUAAUUAAUUAGAAAAAAAGGUAAAAUUCACUUACAUAAUAAUCAAACAGAUCACAUGAUGUUACUAAUUUAUUUUAUGAACAAAACACAACAUAUUUCAAUAAAAUAUUACCUAAUCCACUUUACGAAAUUUAAACAAUUUUGAUACUUUACUAAAUAGAGGAAGACAAAUAAAAAGGUAGAAAAUAACUCACUACACUAUUAACCCUUACCUUGAAGAACCCACUUAAAUUCUUGAAAGAAUUAAUCCACACCUUUAAAUUAUAGAACGAAGCAAUAUGAAGCAAAUACUAAAACUUCUUCUUUCUAACUCUUCGAAUCAAAGUUCUCCGGAGACUUUUUUUUUCUUCUUUAUUUUGUGUUUUCAAUUUUUUGAUAAUAUGAAUAAUUCAUAACAAAAUAAAGUUGGUGGGCAAUUAAAGGGAGCAAAAAUAUCUCACUUAAUUUGUUUUUCAAUUUUUUAAAAUAUAUAAAUAUCCCUAAAUUCUCCUUCCUAAUCACUAGAUUCAAUAGAACUAAUUUUAGUACCUGAGGAUAGUGAAACAGUGAAGGCAAUAAGGUUAUUGUUAAGAAUAUUAGGCUAAUCCAACCUAUGGUAAUCACCCUAGAGGAAGGGUGAAAAGGGUGAUAGUCUCUUUUUGCAAAUUAAAACUAUGUAAAUGUAAGAGACAAUUAUAUGCAAGUAUAUAAUAAGCAAUAUAUAGACAAUUGCAUAUAAAUUAAAGAGUAGGGAAAAGAAAAUGCAAACACAAGAGUUUAUAGUGGUUCGGCGCAACCCGACCUACAUCCACUCUUCUCUAGCUUCAAUCCGAGCGUGAGGUUCCACUAAUUCAAGGCUUCCAAACCAAGCCUUCAAGUAAUACAAUUGAAUUAUGGUUCCAAUUCACCAUCUUGGACUUUUGGCUCCAAGCACCCUUUACACUUCUCAAGAGAUAUCCCACUCUUGAACAACUUCCUCUCAAUGAUUUACAAAUAAAAGAUCUCACAAAAAUCCUAACACAAGAACUUUAAGCUCAAUUGAUACAAGAAAACUAGGAUUGAAAGGUGCACUAAGGAUAUGCAAGUUUCAGAACAAUGGUGCACUCAAAAACACUCUUCUAAGGCUCAAAUAUAAUCAAGAAAGAUUUGGGAAGGUUAAGUUUUUUAAACAAUGAAGAUUGGAGCCUUUUUAUAGAAGAGAAAAGUCAAACUAGCCGUUUGGGGGUUCGACCAGUCGAGUUAGGGGUCGACCGGUUGACUAGCCGUUAACAUUUAAUGCUUGGCAGGUGACCGUUGGACCUCGACCGGACCUCAACCGGACCUCGACCGGACUUCAACCAGUUGAGGUUCAACCUUGACCGGUUGAACAACCGUUCUGGAAGAAAGAGAAAGUUUUUUGCACCCUCGACCGGUUGAACUAGGGGUCUACCCGGGCCUCGACCGGCUGAGCUGUGGGUUGACCCGGACCUCGACCGAUUGAGCUGGGGGUCGACCCAGACCUCGAUCGGUUGAGCUUGCGGUCGACCGGUUCCUCACCCGGUUCAACCGAUUGAGUCGUUUUUUGGCUCAACAACCACCUUUUUCAACUUAAAACCUUUUAAAAUAAGUUUGAAAGACAUUUAACACAAAGUUUUAGUUGAAAACAUGAAAUCAUCCAAUUCUUAAAAUAUUUAAAACAAAAUAACUCUUGAAUGAUUUUGGUGCAUAAGUAAAGAAUGUAAUGCAUGAAAAUCCUAGUGCACUAACAACCUUACAAAGAGAUCUUAUGAAGUUUGGAUCUUGAAAAACUUUUUUUUUUGAGGUGGUCUUCUUCUUCAUGAUUUCUCCUUGGCUUGAUUUGUCUUUGUGAUUGCCACUUUGGAAAUCGUCUUGCUUAAUCACACUUGAAAUAUAGUCAUUAGUUCUAAAGCUUAUUUUGUUAUCAUCAAAAUCAAGAUUAAUCAAACCUUGGUUUCACAGUUAUCAUUGUCUUUUUUUGUUGAUCUUCGUGUAAUAAUUCCUAGUAAAGAAAUUAAAGAAAAACAAAAGAAAACACGCACAGAUUUAAUGUGGUUAGGUAGAUUGCCUACGUCCAUGGGAACAAGGAAAAAGACUUUCACUAUAUUUCAAUUAAUGUUACAUAAAAGGGUAUUUAUACUAACCCUCAAGUAUUGAAAUUCCAAAAAUACCCUUGAACAGUACCACGGGGAGGCGUUGUCCCCCGUACCCCCCCAACCUAUCGUUUACCCUUAACAAUAAAAAUGCAAAAUUAAAUGGCAAAUGUCAUCGUUCUACUUCGACAUUUGCCCAUUUUUCUCCAUAUGUCUUUUACUCAAUAUGAGCCACAUAUAAUUCAAUUAAUACCUACACUCAUUUUUUUUUGUCCCUGAUGCAACAAUCCCUCAUUCUCCUUAAUGGAUCCCUUGAAACCCUUAUCAAAAUUUGCACUAUGUGUCUGUCAAACCUUUGUUGUUGAUGAAAGGUUCUUGUAAGAAAGAUUUGAAAGGUUUCAAAGAUGGAUGUACAAGCUUUAAAAAUAAUGAUAUUUUUUUAAGGUUUAAGGGUCCACCAAUUUUUAAUAAAACAAAUCUAUGUAUACUUGCAAAACCCUAAUAAUUAAUUAUGGGGAGUUUCUGAAUUUUAAACCACUUUAAAAAUGACUUUCUAGAGUCAGAAAUGAAGGGAGAGACAAAAAAUCAUCAACAAGAUGUUUGAAUGCUUGUGGGGGGAAAGGGGAAAGAAAGCUUAAAUGCCCUUGAGAAGCAUUUGAACACCCCUCAAUACAUUUGAAUGCUCACCUUUAAUUAUCUCUUUAUUUUUGCAAUAUUUCGAGCUUUUCUCCAUAUGUUUCAUCCCAAUUUCAUAUUUUAUCCAUUCCAUAAGUUUUAUCAACUUUAGAUGCAUACAUAUCUCAAAAAACAUUGACAUUGAAAAGAUUCAACGUUAGCCUUGAAGAAGUCUGAAGUUAAAUAGAAGUUGACAAGACCUAAGGAAGUAUGUCACGUCUAAUCAAUAAGAAAUAUAACAAAAUUGUCAACUAAAUCUAAUACAUCAACAAAUUCAUAUGAGAAGAAAUCAGUUCCCUCUUGUAAUACAAGCUUUGGUGUGUAGUUAAUCCUAUAUGAAUUUUUUAUAUUGUCUUUGAGGAAAGAAAAGUGGCUUUAAAAAUCACCUGUGGGGAUUAAGAUCAAGUGGUAUAUAUGUAUGUACGUAUGUAUGGAGAGAUAGAGAAAUCAACCUCCUUGUGCAAUUGCAUUUUCCAUAGUUAUUGUUGCAUACCAAAUGUUGUUUCAUAUGGUUCAUCUUUGAGACCAUACAAUCACUACCUACCCAAUUUGAAAUGAAACUCUAUUUUGGUAAUGCUUUAUCUAAGAAUGAAAAUAGUUGACAAGGAGUAGAGCAUGUAAAAACAUUUUCCUAUUUGAUUUAGGUUAAGGGUUAUCAAACACAUCCACCAUUCAUGUCUUCACACCUAGCUACUUUAUUGAGAAAAUUAAAAAAGAAAGAGUAGGUCCAAGAGAAAAAAUAAGUGUAUUUAACAUCAUCCUAGGUUAUUAAUAUAUAGUUAAUAAAAAAAAUUCGAAUUACCUUUAGAGAUGCCUAAGAAUCCCAAUUUGAUUGUUUCACAGACAAGUUUUCUACCCCAAGUCAUGCAUGGAACUAUAAAUGCAAGAACAACUCAAGAUUUUUAUAACACAAGAGCCUUGACCUUUGUUCUCAAGAAGAAAACUAAAAAACUUCAAGAGAGGACAUUUUUGGGAGAAACCUCUAUUAUGUUGUUAAUAAUAAUAAUAAUAAUAAUAAUAAAAAGAUACUUUCUUAAUCCAUUUUUCUCAUUAUUAUUAUUCUUUUCCAUAACUUUCGAUAGUUAAAAACUCCCAGAAAAUGCUUCGUCUACUUUUAAAAAUAUUAGAUGAGGUCGGGUUGAGCUAUAUAUAUAUAUAUAUAUAUAUAUAUAUAUAUAUAUAUAUAUAUAUAGACACACACGUAUGUAUGUAUGUAUGUAUGUAUGUAUGUAUGUAUUAUCCAAACUCAUGGAAUGACCAAUGUCUGACAUACAUUUGAUUAGGUUGUUCCUUUCUCCAAAUAGGCAUUAAUAAAUCAAUUUAUGAUUAUGCAUCAAUAUUAGUCUAAAUACCAUGUGCCAUUGAGCCUGUUAGAGAAUUAAAUUCAAGAAAUUUAGAACCAAAAGCAUUGUUUGUCAAAGAUGGAUGGUGGAUGAUGGCCCGGAAUAUUUUCCUUUUGAUCUAUGAAUGAAUGGACGAGAAACUCUUCAUGAAUGAAUCCACCUUUGAGAAGGAAUGAUGUAGACAUAUUAGAACGUUAAAGAUGGUGUGGCUUUUAGUGAAACUAGGAGUGUUGAUCAACUUAGAAAAUUGAUUGGAUGAAAUUUAACUGAAACUCCUUUGGAAUCGACUGUGGUCCAGAAUAAAUUAUUUCCUUUGCUUUAAUUUGCUUCAAAAUGGACGCCCUUCCCUACUAAGAGGUUCUUGUUGAAUAGAAGUUGACCCAACUUGUGACAUAUGAAGGAAAGAGUUGAGAAACUGGAAUCAUACCUUGUGAUUGAACUAAAGAUUGUUGCCCAACUCCUAUUGCUCAAAAUGACAGAGUUGGGCCCAUUUUGAUAAAAGAAACCAUAUCUAUCAAGUUAUUGAAAAAGCAAUUCACAUCUAUCUUUGAAGUUGAUCACACUCUACAAGGAGACGAAGUCCCCACCAACCUAUAGAGUUGGACCAUUAAAGUUUGUUGGCAUGACAGAAUUAUUUUAUCCCAAAUUCUUCAUUAAAGGUUGUUUGAAUAAGAAGAUUAUUAAUAUUGUAAUGUAUGUCCAGACUUACAUUAAAAGAGAAUUGUAGGACUACUAAAUCCAUAUAAGCAAUUCAUUUAUUGAAGUCAUAUAAUUUUGAAAUUUAAAGUAAUUGUGAUUAUGGAUAACCCAUAAUAAAUCCAAUAAAGGAAAAUUUAAAGUCAUCAUUAUAAACUAAGUGGGAGAAUGUUAGAACUAUAAGUGGUUUAAUGACCACAUUAAGUUUUCUUAAAAAAAAAAUUUCUUAAAAUGUUUUGAUUUAUUUUCUCAUGUAUGAAUUUUGAUGAAAUUAAAUUAAUUCAUUUUGAAAUUCAUAAUACUUAUUAAGUUCAUGUUCCAAUUGUUAUUAUUAUUAAUUAAAAAAUGUUCAAAGUAUUUAACUAGUGGUUCAUUGAUGGAUAGAACCAUAAUGCACCUAUAAAUAGAAGAGCUCUUAAUCCCUUUCUCCACUCUUACAAUUUUUUU